GAUCAUGGCUCAGGAUGAACGCUAGUGGCAGGCCCAACACAUGCAAGUCGAGGGGCAUCGGGAUUGGAGCUUGCUUCAAUUGCCGGCGACCGGCGCACGGGUGCGUAACGCGUAUGUAACCUACCUAUAACAGGGGCAUAACACUGAGAAAUUGGUACUAAUUCCCCAUAAUAUUCGGAGAGGCAUCUCUCCGGGUUGAAAACUCCGGUGGUUAUAGAUGGACAUGCGUUGUAUUAG
rnacentral:rRNA from 1 species